CGCUCUAAAUCCCCUAGAUUCUUCUAGGUACUUGGGGGACUAGGGAUGUGUUCCACGCCUGGGCGCGCAGUCUGCUUCGCCAGCUCGCCAACGGCCUUCGGCGACGCCCCGCCGUUCUACGCGUUUGGGUCUUCGGCAAGAACUCCGUUGUUUUUGUGCGCAUACACUGCGGGUCUACGCAGAGUGUAGAGGGGCCUCUCUGUGAAGUGUUUCAAACAUGGCGUCCCCCAGUAGCAUCAGCACUCUGCGCGACUCGCAUGACAAUUCACCGUGGUUUUUGUUCCAGGAAAGGCUAGACCACCUGUCCAGUCAGCUUGUUCGGCGAGUGGCUGGGUAUGUAGCUGGCUGAAAAUGCUGCCUGUGCACAUAGUUGAGAGCACAAGCAAGGCAGCAGUACAUGCAUUAUAAAUUAUUAAGAUAUAAGGUUACAGACUUGCAAAUCACUGAUCACCUUGGUUCAAUUAGUAAUUACAGUUGGUACUACUGUGAACCUGAACGAAUUUUGCAGCCAAGUCUGACAAAUUUAAAAAAUGUAAAAGGUGAAAUCUUCAACAUGCACUUACAUUAGUCUAUUUUUUCUCCUCUCUGAGCAACGUGCUAGUGUGAGCCUUUCAACUAUAAUACUAUUAGUGGUUGCUUAUCACUGGUGUUGAGCAAUUUUGUUUUUGGUGUGGAAGACUAAGCCUUUUUCUUUUGGUUGCAUUGUGUAUUGCAGUUUUUACCAUGUCACCCAAGAAGUAGAGUAAUUACUGUUUAAGAAUAGACAUACUGAGAUGCAUAUAUACAUCGUUGAAUGUAAUUUCUGGUUGUGCAAUAAAAAUGCAUCUUUUUCAUAAAAGAAUGGCUGUCCUCAUUACUGUUUGAUACAAGUGCUGGGUGGGGUGUUUCAGAGAUCAAGUAUCAUUUACAGCAAGCACAUAUUUAACAACAGCACUGUAAAAUGUAGCCCAUACUGGACCUACUGUAUACACAUAUACAACACAUUGACAUUUUUUAUUUAAUAAUUUAAAGAUUUCUUCAUGAUAGAAAUUGCAGUUUCGGUGCCUUAACUUUCUUUGCACUAUGUGUUGCACUUGAUUAACUUGAAAUGAUCGGAACUGCUCACUUUUUAAUUAUUGGCAUGAGAUUGCUUCAAGACUUUUAUUUCCGAGAAUGAUUAUGUAUUUAUUUAAAAUACCUUACAGGCCCAAAGGGCAUUGAGUAAGGGGGGUUUAGUUAUUACAAUGAAAGUACAAGCAAACUAGUAACAUCAAAAUGUAAUGCAACAAAGCAAAUUGCAAAAUACAAAACAAGGUUCCAAUGCAAGUGAACAAAAAUAUGCAACACAACAAAAUAUUUAUUUAUUUAUUUUAUUUAUUUACAAUACUGCCAGUCUCUACUGAGACCAUAGCAGGUUUGCGAAAAAGCACUAAAAGAGCAUUUGACUGCAAGUGAAGAAGAAAGUGCAACACAUCACAAAAUGAACAAAUUAUGGACUAAUCGGACUAAUCCAUAAUACAGCACUACUGCAAAAAAUUCACCUCAAGCUUGUGACGGAAGUUAUGUAGUAUUGUGUUAUUGGUCAUGUAACCCCCCCUUACACAAUGCUUCCUUGAAGAGUCUAAGGUACAUUAAAUAAAUUACUUAACAAGAAAACAUGCACUUUUUGUGACGGCAAGGGAUUUAUAUAUUUCAAUCCACAGGCUUCUUUUACUAGUCAGCACUUAAGCUGUUUGGCAUUAUGGAGGCACCUAGGUCUUAUUUCACUUGUUACCAAGCCAGAAACCUCUUACUCUUAGCGGUUUUAUAUCCGGUGGAAACAAAAGCUUCUCAAGGAGUGCAAACUGCACUGGAGUGCACAGAUAUGUCUGUGUUGUAACUUGGAAAUGGAUGCCAGACCAUCUGGCUCUCUCAGGACAUCAGGUAGUAUACAUAUACUGCAACACUGCAGUAACAUUUACACAUACCAUGUGUUUCAGUCAAGUAAAUGUAAAAAAAAAAGAGUUGUAUAUAUUUGUGCAUUUCUUCCAGUAAUCCAUUAUUUGCUGUGGUGGACAUCAGGUGCAUAUAUUGAAAUUGCUUAUGAACAUGCAAACAGCUUGCUCAUUAGAUUUUUACCUAUUACUUUUAGAGGCCAUGUAGUAAUGAAAGUCAAAGCUAGCCAGUCGGGAAAGUAUUUGUUAGUAAGUACGUCAAUUGGCAGCAGCUUCAAGAAAUGUGCACUAGAAUUAAACGUUGCACGCAAAGCUUUCACACACUGACCAAACAUAGUUAGGCGCGUAGAAUAGAGAGCAGGAUGUCACUGCAUCUGGAAUAUCUUUAAACUGGUGCCGCUUAUGAAGCUUCUGUCAAAUAUUCUUCCUGCACGAGCUAGGUGCAGUUUGGCAAUCACAUGAUUCCAAAGUAAAGACAAAUUUGCAUUAAAUUUUGUUGACAUGUUCAUUUAGAAUUUGAAGAUGUACACCUGUAAUUUACUGAGACUAAUAUUACUUGAAUCCCCUUAUCUGAGAAAAUAUGCAUUUAUUAUCCACAUAAAAUUGUUUUAACACGUGGUAUUGUUAAGUAGUCUCUAUUUGUUCCCGACAGUACAUUUAGUACUAUGCACCUUUCGUUAUACUAAUUUGGAUGGAUAUCGCAGGAGUUUUGUUGAGUGCGAUUCUAAAACUACCAGAAAGGUGCACAUAGCAAGCACCCAGAUGUUACUAAAUAUUCUCUUCAAAGAAGAAAAUAUAUUGGGUGCCUGACAAAACAGUGCCCAAUACACACUUGAAGCCGUGUUAGACCUUUAACAUUGGGCACUUGAGACUGCAGUUAAUCGAAAUGUUCUGUGUAAUGUAUGGUGCACAAACACAUUGUGCAGGUGGUGCUUGUGGCUGAGAAGCCUGUGUGUUGAAUGAUGUGUGAAUAUCUUUACUGUUAUUUGCCUUCUUCUUUACCACUGUAUGAAGAAGAGAUGUAAAAAAUAGACAGCGAGAAGAGUGCAUGUACAUGCGUGCCUAACCGUACACAAAAUAAAGUUUAUCCAAACAAAGUGCCACUACCAACUGAAUUUUUUUUCACAGUACAGGUUUUUAUUUUUUUUUAUAACACCCAUCAUGUGUGGCUAAGGCAGAACUGUUGCUAAGCAUGAGACAGCGGGAUUAAAUUGCAGCCACAGUGGCUGCAUUUUGAUGGAGUCAAAAUGCAAAAACAUCCAUCUGCUGCCUGCAUUGUAAUGAAUGUUAAAAAAGAACUAAAUCGUCAAAAGUAAUUGGAAGCCAUCCACUAUGGCAUGCCUCUUAAUCAUACGGUGGUUUUGCUUUAAACAUCAGAAUUUUUUUUAUAUAUAUAAAACUGGAGGUGCACAUGGGUAUUAAUACGUUCCUUAUACUACAGCAUGCUGGAGAGCAAUUCCCGUGUUGUACAAUGAAAGUGAUGUGUUGCUGACAUACAUUUCCCAAUUUCUUGAUAUGAAAUGCUAUGAGGGCCUCUCCUGCCACUGACUCUCCGACCCUACUCAUUGUCUUCAAUAUGAACUCUCCCAGUAGCUAUAACAACUAAAGCAAUGAGUUGCACUUUGCCAAUAAGUAAAAGGAAUGGGUGGAGCAGCAGGCCAGAGCCACACUAUUGCAGGCACCUUUUUGUACAAAAGAUAGCGUGUCUUUCUCUGUGUGCUACAAGUAAAUUAUUGGCAGGGGAGAAACUCAAAACAGUGGGUCACUUCACUUGAUCCCCCAUAUGGCACCUGUACAGCACUUUGAGUGGGAAAUAUGCACUUCACCACAUGAUAAGCAACGGAAGUUGGCUGCCAAUAAUAAAAUCGCCUUCAGAACAACUCUGUGCUUGGUCACAUCAACGCUCUGUAUCCUGUUCUUUGAAUGCAUUCUCAUGACAGUGUUUUGACGACCUGCAAAAAAAGAAAGCCUUGAAGUGGGACAACCUUGCAGUAGACAAUAGCAAAGUCCAGUGGAGCUGCUACAAUGAUUAACACAACAAACUUUUUUUUUCUACAAAUUGUCAGUGUACACUGUAGGAUCGGAGCUUCAGGAGGCCCAUGAGGACUUAUAAAAAAAAUUCAUUCAAGCAAGCAACACCUUG